UACGUAGGGUGCAAGCGUUAAUCGGAAUUACUGGGCGUAAAGCGUGCGCAGGCGGCUUUGCAAGACAGAUGUGAAAUCCCCGGGCUCAACCUGGGAACUGCAUUUGUGACUGCAUGGCUUGAGUGCGGCAGAGGGGGAUGGAAUUCCGCGUGUAGCAGUGAAAUGCGUAGAUAUGCGGAGGAACACCGAUGGCGAAGGCAAUCCCCUGGGCCCGCACUGACGCUCAUGCACGAAAGCGUGGGGAGCAAACAGG
rnacentral:rRNA from 1 species